GGUACCAAUGGGCGGGGCUGAACCAAUGGAUGGGUUGGACCAAUGGCAAGGGCUGGACUAAUGGACGAGGGAUGGGCCGGGGCUGGACCAAUGGGCGAGGGCUGGACCAAUGGCCACGGGCUGGGCGGUGGCUGGGCCAAUGGGAAAAGGAGGAUUUCACCUCGUGGAAUGCUCAGGGGAUGAAGGGAGUAUUCCUUUAUCUAGCUUCUACUUUGACAUAAUUUCUCACCUACAGAAAAGUUGCAAGAAUCCCAAAAGGAGGUUGACUGGGGUGGCUCACGUCUGUUUCCCAAUGCUUUGGGAGGCCAAGGAGAGAGAAUCGCUUGAGCUCAGGAGUUUGAGACCAGCCUGGGGAACAUAGGGAGACCACGUCUCUAGUAAAAAUUAAAAUUAAGACCGGGAGGGGUGGCUUACGUCUGUAAUCUCAGCACUUUCGGAGGCCAAGGUGGGUGGAUCACCUGAGGUCGGAAGUUAGAGAGCAGCCUGACCAACAUGGAGAAACUCAGACUCUACUAAAAAUCCAAAACUAGCCGGGCGUGGUGGCGCAUGCCUGUAAUCCCAGCUACUCAGGAGGCUGAGGCAGGAGAAUCACUUGAAUCCGGGAGGCAGAGUGCAGGGACCAGCCCCACAGGGUCUGUGGGUCUCUCCCCGUGUGCGGCGAUGAGAGAGUGUAGAAAUAAAGACACAAGACAAAGAGAUAAAAGAAAAGACAGCUGGGCCCGGGGGACGACUACCACCAAUGUGCGGAGACCGGUAGCGGCCCCGAAUGUCUGGCUGCACUGUUAUUUACUGGAUGCAAGCAAAAGGGGCAGGGUAAAGAGUGUGAGUCAUCUCCAAUGAUAGGUAACGUCACGUGGGUCAUGUGUCCACUGGACAGGGGGCCCUUCCCUGCCUGGCAGCCGAGGCAGAGAGAGAGAGGAGACAAAGAGAAAGACAGCUUACACCAUUAUUUCUGCAUAUCAGAGACUUUCAGUACUUUCACUAAUUUUCUACUGCUAUCUAGAAGGCAGAGCCAGGUGUACAGGAUGGAACAUGAAGGCAGACUAGGAGCAUGACCACUGAAGCACAGCAUCACAGGGAGACGGUUAGGUCUCCGGAUAACUGUGGGCAAGCCUGACUGAUGUCAGGCCCUCCACAAGAGGUGGAGGAGCAGAGUCUUCUCUAAACUCCCCCGGGGAAAGGGAGACCCCCCCCCCCUUUCCUGGUCUGCUAAGUAGCGGGUGUUGUUCCUUGACACUUUUCGCUACAGCUAGACCAUGGUCCCCCUGGCAACGGGUGUCUUCCCAGACGCUGGCGUCACCGCUAGACCAAGGAGCCCUCUGGUGGCCCUGUCCGGGCAUAACAGAAGGCUCGCACUCUUGUCUUCUGGUCACACCUCACUGUGUCCCCUCAGCUCCUAUUAUGGUAUGAGGCCACCACUUCUCCUGUUGUCCUUCCCAGUUUCUCCCCAACCUCCCCUUUUCCCUAGUUUAUAAGACAGGAGAAAAGAGAGAAAGCAAAAAGUUGGAAAGAAACAGAAGUAAGAUAAAUAGCUAGACGACCUUGGCGCCACCACCCGGCCCUGGUGGCUAAAAUAAUAAUAUUAUUAUUAACCCCUGACCAAAACUACUGGUGUUAUCUGUAAAUUCCAGACAUUGUAUGAGAAAGCACUAUAAAACUUUUUGUUCUGUUAACUGAUGUUUGUAGCCCCCAGUCACGUUCCUCAUGCUUACUUGAUCUAUUACGACUUUUUCACGUAGACCCCUUAGAGUUGUAAGCCCUUAAAAGGGCUAGGAAUUUCUUUUUCAGGGAGCUCGGCUCUUAAGACACGAGUCUGCUGACGCUCCCGGCCGAAUAAAAAAACCUCUUCCUUC
rnacentral:lncRNA from 1 species